AUUCCAGGCUCUUGUGUGGCUGCCUGCGCAGCUGCUCCGUGCCAGGCUUAGAGGACCAGGAGAAGGGGUAGUCACUUGCCACAGCUGGAGGCUGGAGCGUGUGGCACCACGGCUCGCCUCGCUGUGGUGGGUGCUGGCGACAGAGACGGCAGCUCGGCUGGAGUGUGACCCAUUUGGAGCAGGAGUGCCUGACAUUCGCAUCUGGGAUCCUGACACCAUUGAUAGAAGUGAAUCAGAACAGCCCUUAUGCUUGCUGUGCACUAUGACUCACCGGGUAUUGUCAACAUCCUUCUUAAACAAAAUAUUAAUGUCUUUACUCAAGACGUGUGGACAAGAUGCAGAAGAUUACGCUAUUUCUCGCUGUUUGACAAACAUUUUCCAUGAACUGUGUGUGGAUUCAUUGCCUGCAUUAGAUGACGAAGUCUUGAGUGUUGCUGCUAAGGUAAAUUGGUCUCUUGUAAAAUUAAUUUUCUCACUCUGAAUGUAGUUUUGCAGAGUAUUUACUUUUCAAACUUAGCAGUGGUUUAUCUGUCAUUGUUUUAUGGUGGUAACGGAAAGUGGGUCAGAGAAAAACAUAUAUAUGGCUAGUUGAUUGAAAAAAUUUGUUUAACUUUGGUAACUAACAAAGAUUGAUAAGUACCGUGACAGGGUAGGAGCUGAAAAAAAAUGAACUGGAAAAUAAGUAGUGACAGGAAAAUCACAUUAGGAAAUGCUUUCUCCAAUAGAGGAAAUAUGAAAUUUGAUUAAGCUUUAUUUGGAUAAAUACUAAUACUUUGAGUUUUAAAUCCUGUGAGUGUGACUUUCAUAAUAUUUAUGCCUGUAUAACUCUUCAGUGGAUCAAAUUAUUUGCAGUAAUCAUGGAAUCCUCCUGGUAACUUUUAGUUGCAAAAAGGUUCAGCACAUAGCAUAUAGCUUUUCUUCUUGGAAACUUAUUAUUUUGGUAUCAUAUAGUUUUUAGGAGAGAUUGUUUCUCUACUUAUAUUAUUGGUUCUAUAGUGAGACUAAAAUAAUAUUAAAAAUUGUAGAAAAAUAGCUGAGUGUGGUGGUGUACACCUGUAGUCCCUGCUACUUGGGAGUUUGAUGCAGGAAGAUUGCUUGAGCCCAGGAGUUUGAGAACAGCCUGGGCAACAUAACAAGACUGUAUCUGAUUUAAAAAUAUAAAUUGUGGAAACAUAGAAAUUUAAAUUUAUGUUCUCAAAAUUUGUAUUGCGAAGGGAUUUUUGUGUGUUUUAUGAGUUGUCCAUGAAGAGUUUAUAUAAAACACUUCAUCUAAUUGAAUAACAUGUAUUUUGCUGCAAAUAACCAGUUCUAGAAGCAGAGACUCUUAAUACCAAUAUGGUAAGACUUUAUCAUCAUAAUUUUGUCAUUGUAGUUUAUUUAAAAUAUUUAGUUGGCCAGACGUGGUGGCUCACACCUGUAAUCCCAGCACUUUUGGAGGCCGAGGUGGGUAGAU
rnacentral:lncRNA from 1 species